CAGGAUGAACGCUGGCGGCGUGCUUAACACAUGCAAGUCGAACGAUGAAGCCCAGCUUGCUGGGUGGAUUAGUGGCGAACGGGUGAGUAACACGUGAGUAACCUGCCCUUGACUCUGGGAUAAGCCUGGGAAACUGGGUCUAAUACCGGAUAGGAACGUCCACCGCAUGGUGGGUGUUGGAAAGAUUUAUCGGUCAUGGAUGGACUCGCGGCCUAUCAGCUUGUUGGUGAGGUAAUGGCUCACCAAGGCGACGACGGGUAGCCGGCCUGAGAGGGUGACCGGCCACACUGGGACUGAGACACGGCCCAGACUCCUACGGGAGG
rnacentral:rRNA from 1 species